GGAAUCUUCCACAGUGGACGAAAGUCUGAUGGAGCAACGCCGCGUGAGUGAAGAAGGGUUUCGGCUCGUAAAACUCUGUUGUUAAAGAAGAACAUAUCUGAGAGUAACUGUUCAGGUAUUGACGGUAUUUAACCAGAAAGCCACGGCUAACUACGUGCUAG
rnacentral:rRNA from 1 species